rnacentral:rRNA from 1 species
CGGACCAAGGAGUCUAGCAUGUGCGCGAGUCAAUCGGGACGAUUGUUAAACCCGGAGGCGAAAUGAAAGUGAAAGGCGGGCCUCGAGCCCGUCGCAGGGAAGAUGCGCGGGCGGCGUCAGCCGCCCCGCCGCAUUCCCGAGGCGUUUCGAGAAAGCCACCGUGUGAUUAUCGAGACGCACUGAGAGCGUACACGCUGGGACCCGAAAGAUGGUGAACUAUGCCUGGUCAGGUCGAAGUCAGGGGAAACCCUGAUGGAGGACCGAAGCGAUUCUGACGUGCAAAUCGAUCGUCCGAACUGGGUAUAGGGGCGAAAGACUAAUCGAACUAUCUAAUAGCUGGUUCCAUCCGAAG